CCCUAAGAGAAAUCCUAUGUAAAUGAGGUGUCCUAAGAUCAUACACACAAACAUAUAAAAAUUGGAAAUAUGAGACCAGAAACACACCCAUU
rnacentral:rRNA from 1 species